GUGCUUGCUUCAGUAGCACAUAUAGUAAAAUUGGAAUGACAAAGAUUAGUAUGCCUUCCAUAUGAUGAUGACAUGCAAGUUUGUGAAACAUCCUAUAUUUAG
rnacentral:snRNA from 1 species